UCUCGUAAAUUUCACGAUUGCGAGCCACGCUUCACGCAACCGUGUUUGCGUACUUGUGUUUCGAGUUGCGUGGUCGUGCGGAGUUAUAUUUACCAAAUUUCAUAGAAGAGUGGGUGGGGCCAAAUUUAAAUAAUAUAAUCGUUUCUACUGAUUCAUAAUAAUAAUAUGUAGGUAUACUAUUCUCAAUAUGGUUACUGGGUGUAAAAGAUAAAUCUUAUUCUAUCUGUUCUUCAUGAGUUUUAGAUAAUUUUAGUUGUAUUUCUUUGUAAUUUUGUGUUGUACAAAGAUUAAUUUAACAUUUUCUCUGGAAGUAUUAAUUUAGAAAGAUAAUAUGCUUCAUUGGUGUUGUGUUUUGAAGUGUGAAAUGCAAAGUAAUUGUGAUAAAGUCAAGAUAAAGUUCACUUUUAAACUGAACUAAAUAAGGUAUCUGAGAGACAACAAUGGUUAAAUGCAAUACAAUGUACAGGUUUUACUAGCGAAAUGAAAAUUUUCCUGUCCUGUCUGCUGUAAUCAUUUUAUAUCUGGAAAAUAGGAAAACCAGCCGACUUAAUCGAUAAUAACAAUCUCCAGAUUGGGUUCCUUCAAUAAAUAUGGGCUAUAAACACAAUGAAAUAAGUUCCCCAAAAUCUAAAAUGGAGUGGUAUCAAAGGAGAAUUAAAGGAAAAAAUAUUCAUAUUGAAAUUAUUUAUAAGGCACUGGACUGUCUUAAAUUCUACAAUAAUACUAGAAUCAGCUGAGAGAAGUGGUCUACAAAAAACCAGGAAGGAAACGGAAUAUGUGGCUACGAAAGGCAAAAGAAAGGUUUACAAAGCAAAUGUGACACAUUUUUUUGAAAUAUUUAGGAAUAUCAGUAAAUUGC